rnacentral:misc_RNA from 1 species
AUUUGUUUUACUCUUUACACGUGAAUAUAUUAGUUAGUUAAGAAAGUAACUUUUCAUUUGAAAUGAUAAUCAAGUUUUAGUACUGUUGACAAAAAAAAGUUUUGCAAAGUUUUGCUUACGUUUUUACAGACAUAAAAACGUUUUGCAAAAAACAGCAUGUGCAGCCGAAAUCGACGGUAAUACAUUUCAGAACGUGGAGAUAUUAUUGUCUUCCUUUAAUGACAUCAUUAGUCUAAUCAAUUAUUAAUAAUUUCCCUAGUGUCUGUUAAAAUAUCUAUAUAAAUAUUUAAGCUUUUCUCUUUUCCACAAGUUUUCUCUUUCUCAUAUCUUCAAAUAUUUAUCAGAAAAAGCAUAUUUAUUUCUUUCGUCAUUUCAAAAUCAAUAGAAAGAAAUUUAAAAUCAUAGAGAUGAGAAUAGCAUGAAACACAUUGCAUAAGUCUUACAUUAUUCAUAUAAAAGAAUGAUUCUUAUUGAUGUCGUAAAAGUUUCAACAGAUCAAUCUAUAAAGAGAGCGUACUGUUGUUAAAUUUAAAGAAAUAGUGAUGAUGUACAUCUUUUAAAAUAACUACUAAAUUGACCUUGCCCGCAUUCUAACACAUUUACUUUCCAGGAUUGCAGUGUAAAAAGAAGACACACAGUAGAAGAACCGUUAGUCUUUUAAAAUAUUUUUUUCUCAGGACUGUAACGCUACUUCAAUUGACAUGUCUAAAUUAGAAGGAUAUGAGUAUUAUAGGAAGAGUUUAAACUCUGCCAAGUAUGUUGUUGCUCCAAUGGUUGAUGCAAGUGAAUUAGCUUUUAGAAUGCAAUGUCGUAAACAUGGCGCACAGCUAUGCUACACGCCUAUGUUCAAUGCUGGUUUAUUUGUGAAAAGUGAACAUUAUAGACAAGAGAAUUUUACAACAUGCCCAGAAGACCGACCAUUAAUUGUUCAAUUUUGUGCAAAUGACCCUAAAAUAUUUUUGGAAGCCUGUAAACUAGUUCAAGAUCGUUGCGACGGUGUUGAUUUAAAUCUAGGAUGUCCUCAGCAAAUAGCUCGUAGAGGUCAUUAUGGGGCUUUUCUACAAGAUGAGUGGGAACUUUUAGAAAAAAUGGUUAGUCUAUGUCAUAAAGAAUUAAAAGUUCCAAUAAGCUGCAAAAUUAGGAUAUUUAAAUCUCUUGAAAAAACCAUUAAAUAUGCAAAAACACUUGAGAAGGCCGGAUGUCAAUUGUUAACUGUUCACGGUAGAACAAGAGAGCAAAAAGGAGUCUUAACAGAUAUUGCCAAUUGGAAGUUUAUAGCUGAGGUUAGAAAGAAUGUGAAAAUUCCUGUACUUUCUAAUGGAAAUAUUCAAUAUUUCUGUGAUAUUGAAAGAUGCAUAAAUUUUACGGGAGUCGACGGAGUGAUGUCAGCAGAAGGGUGCUUAUACAAUCCUGCCCUAUUUGAAGGAAAAACUUAUGCAGCUUACUUUUUAGCUGAAGAAUAUUUAAAUUUUACGAAAAAGUAUCCAUGUCCUCUAGGUUAUAUACGUGGACAUGUAUUUAAGAUUUUAAAUCCUUGUCUACAAUGUGAUAUAGAUGAAAUGAGACGAGCGAGAGAUCUAAUAGCUGGCGCUCAAGCAGUUGACACAUUUUAUGAAGCUGUCGCAAUAGUCAAGUCUACCUGGCUGAGUUAUUACAGAGAUUCCAAUUUAAGUAAUGAAGCCUUGUUUCCGCUGAAAUUUGUUUGUCAGCCGUACGUUAGACCGCCUAUAAGAAAUAACGAAGAACAAAAAGAAGAAUCGGUGAAAUCUGGCAAACCAGAUAGAAGAGAUAUUUUAAAGAGAAAACUUGAGGAAAAAAUGAAAAUUUCCGAAGAAGAUAUGAAUCGUUUAUCUUUGAAAAAGUUAAAAAAAUUAUUGAAAAAGCCUAAGAGAAGAAAAAUUCCAGAAUACUCUAACAAUCUAGACAAAUGUCGAAAUGACUUGUGCCCAAAUCCAAAAUGUUUACUUUGUGAAUUCAAGAUGUGUAAAAGUUGCUGUAGAGUUACUGCUAAAGAAAAAUCAAUAAACUGUACAAAACAUCGUUCGUUGUGUGUUGAAGAAAGUUCUAAAUAAAUUAAAAUACAAUUGUGAUUGUUAUCUAUAAAAUUUAAUUAAGUUUUGCUAAUUCUACGAAAAAUAACAACGGAUAAUUAUUAAUAAACAGGAGAUUGUUUGGUCUCAUUCAAU